rnacentral:rRNA from 1 species
UAGANGCUNGCGGCAGGCCUAACACAUGCAAGUCGAGCGGAUGAAGGGAGCUUGCUCCUGGNUUCAGCGGCGGACGGGUGAGUAAUGCCUAGGAAUCUGCCUGGUAGUGGGGGAUAACGUCCGGAAACGGGCGCUAAUACCGCAUACGUCCUGAGGGAGAAAGUGGGGGAUCUUCGGACCUCACGCUAUCAGAUGAGCCUAGGUCGGAUUAGCUAGUUGGUGGGGUAAAGGCCUACCAAGGCGACGAUCCGUAACUGGUCUGAGAGGAUGAUCAGUCACACUGGAACUGAGACACGGUCCAGACUCCUACGGGAGGCAGCAGUGGGGAAUAUUGGACAAUGGGCGAAAGCCUGAUCCAGCCAUGCCGCGUGUGUGAAGAAGGUCUUCGGAUUGUAAAGCACUUUAAGUUGGGAGGAAGGGCAGUAAGUUAAUACCUUGCUGUUUUGACGUUACCAACAGAAUAAGCACCGGCUAACUUCGUGCCAGCAGCCGCGGUAAUACGAAGGGUGCAAGCGUUAAUCGGAAUUACUGGGCGUAAAGCGCGCGUAGGUGGUUCAGCAAGUUGGAUGUGAAAUCCCCGGGCUCAACCUGGGAACUGCAUCCAAAACUACUGAGCUAGAGUACGGUAGAGGGUGGUGGAAUUUCCUGUGUAGCGGUGAAAUGCGUAGAUAUAGGAAGGAACACCAGUGGCGAAGGCGACCACCUGGACUGAUACUGACACUGAGGUGCGAAAGCGGGGGGGCAAACCNGAA